rnacentral:rRNA from 1 species
GACGAACGCUGGCGGCGUGCUUAACACAUGCAAGUCGAACGGAAAGGCCCUGCUUUUGUGGGGUGCUCGAGUGGCGAACGGGUGAGUAACACGUGAGUAACCUGCCCUUGACUUUGGGAUAACUUCAGGAAACUGGGGCUAAUACCGGAUAGGAGCUCCUGCUCCAUGGUGGGGGUUGGAAAGUUUCGGCGGUUGGGGAUGGACGCGCGGCUUAUCAGCUUGUUGGUGGGGUAGUGGCUUACCAAGGCUUUGACGGGUAGCCGGCCUGAGAGGGUGACCGGCCACAGUGGGACUGAGAUACGGCCCAGACUCCUACGGGAGGCAGCAGUGGGGAAUAUUGCACAAUGGGCGGAAGCCUGAUGCAGCAACGCCGCGUGCGGGAUGACGGCCUUCGGGUUGUAAACCGCUUUCGCCUGUGACGAAGCGUGAGUGACGGUAAUGGGUAAAGAAGCACCGGCUAACUACGUG